GAUGAACGCUGGCGGCGUGCUUAACACAUGCAAGUCGAACGGUCAAGCGCCUUCCUUUUUGGUGGGUGGGGAUGAGCGGACGACGGAUGAGCAACUGGAUAGUAUCCUUCUCACUCUUGCUGGAUAACCGGAAAACAGAGCGGAUACUACGGGAUAUAUUGGACCGCAUGGAUCAUGGGUGUGGGAAGGAUUUUGUUUCGGUGGUGGAUGGGUUCGCGGCGUAUUAGCUUGUUGGUGAGGUGAUGGCCUACCAAGGCGGUGAUGGGUAGCCGGCCUGAGAGGGUCGACGGUCACACUGGGACGGAGACACGGCCCAGACUCCGACGGGAGGCAGCAGUGGGGAAUAUUGCACAAUGGGCGCAAGCCUGAUGCAGCGACGCCGCGUGAGGGAUGGAGGCCUUCGGGUUGUGAACCUCUUUCGCCAGUGAAGCAGGCCUGCCUCGUUUGUGGGUGGGUUGACGGUAGCUGGAUAAGAAGCGCCGGCUAACUACGUG
rnacentral:rRNA from 1 species